rnacentral:rRNA from 1 species
GACGAACGCUGGCGGCGUGCUUAACACAUGCAAGUCGAACGGAAAGGCCCUGCUUUUGUGGGGUGCUCGAGUGGCGAACGGGUGAGUAACACGUGAGUAACCUGCCCUUGACUUUGGGAUAACUUCAGGAAACUGGGGCUAAUACCGGAUAGGAGCUCCUGCUGCAUGGUGGGGGUUGGAAAGUUUCGGCGGUUGGGGAUGGACUCGCGGCUUAUCAGCUUGUUGGUGGGGUAGUGGCUUACCAAGGCUUUGACGGGUAGCCGGCCUGAGAGGGUGACCGGCCACAUUGGGACUGAGAUACGGCCCAGACUCCUACGGGAGGCAGCAGUGGGGAAUAUUGCACAAUGGGCGGAAGCCUGAUGCAGCAACGCCGCGUGCGGGAUGACGGCCUUCGGGUGGGAAACCGCUUUCGCCUGUGACGAAGCGUGAGUGACGGUAAUGGGUAAAGAAGCACCGGCUAACUACGU